rnacentral:rRNA from 1 species
GCAAGUCGAACGAAACUUUCUUACACCGAAUGCUUGCAUUCACCGUAAGAAGUUGAGUGGCGGACGGGUGAGUAACACGUGGGUAACCUGCCUAAAAGAAGGGGAUAACACUUGGAAACAGGUGCUAAUACCGUAUAUCUCUAAGGAUCGCAUGAUCCUUAGAUGAAAGAUGGUUCUGCUAUCGCUUUUAGAUGGACCCGCGGCGUAUUAACUAGUUGGUGGGGUAACGGCCUACCAAGGUGAUGAUACGUAGCCGAACUGAGAGGUUGAUCGGCCACAUUGGGACUGAGACACGGCCCAAACUCCUACGGGAGGCAGCAGUAGGGAAUCUUCCACAAUGGACGCAAGUCUGAUGGAGCAACGCCGCGUGAGUGAAGAAGGUCUUCGGAUCGUAAAACUCUGUUGUUAGAGAAGAACACGAGUGAGAGUAACUGUUCAUUCGAUGACGGUAUCUAACCAGCAAGUCACGGCUAACUACGUGCCAGCAGCCGCGGUAAUACGUAGGUGGCAAGCGUUGUCCGGAUUUAUUGGGCGUAAAGGGAACGCAGGCGGUCUUUUAAGUCUGAUGUGAAAGCCUUCGGCUUAACCGGAGUAGUGCAUUGGAAACUGGAAGACUUGAGUGCAGAAGAGGAGAGUGGAACUCCAUGUGUAGCGGUGAAAUGCGUAGAUAUAUGGAAGAACACCAGUGGCGAAAGCGGCUCUCUGGUCUGUAACUGACGCUGAGGUUCGAAAGCGUGGGUAGCAAACAGGAUUAGAUACCCUGGUAGUCCACGCCGUAAACGAUGAAUGCUAGGUGUUGGAGGGUUUCCGCCCUUCAGUGCCGCAGCUAACGCAAUAAGCAUUCCGCCUGGGGAGUACGACCGCAAGGUUGAAACUCAAAGGAAUUGACGGGGGCCCGCACAAGCGGUGGAGCAUGUGGUUUAAUUCGAAGCAACGCGAAGAACCUUACCAGGUCUUGACAUCCUUUGACCACCUAAGA